rnacentral:rRNA from 1 species
AGCGAACGCUGGCGGCAGGCCUAACACAUGCAAGUCGAACGAACUCUUCGGAGUUAGUGGCGGACGGGUGAGUAACACGUGGGAACGUGCCUUUUGGUUCGGAAUAACUCAGGGAAACUGGUGCUAAUACCGAAUGUGCCCUUCGGGGGAAAGAUUUAUCGCCAUUAGAGCGGCCCGCGUCUGAUUAGCUAGUUGGUGAGGUAACGGCUCACCAAGGCGACGAUCAGUAGCUGGUCUGAGAGGAUGACCAGCCACACUGGGACUGAGACACGGCCCAGACUCCUACGGGAGGCAGCAGUGGGGAAUCUUGCGCAAUGGGCGAAAGCCUGACGCAGCCAUGCCGCGUGAAUGAUGAAGGUCUUAGGAUUGUAAAAUUCUUUCACCGGGGACGAUAAUGACGGUACCCGGAGAAGAAGCCCCGGCUAACUUCGUG